GAGUUUCAAAAAGCAACAGUUUGAGUUAGCUUUCAGAUUCUGCUUUUAUAAUGAAGAGCAAUUUACUUGCCAUCUUUGUUCUUGCCACACUCGUGUGUAGCACGUGGGCUACGCUUGGUGGGAAGGCAGUUCUCAAGGAAAAGGAUAUGAUGAGAAAAAUUGUAUUUGACAAAAAGACACCAGAUGUGUUUUAUUGUCCAAUGCAGAAGCCGUCUUCGAUGAACAAAAUUAUUGUCACAGCACGGCCCCUACACAAAUUGUGCGAAUACGAAGGCAACCCAUUGCCAGCUGAAUAUAAAUCUGACUGUUACAUGGAUAUUGAUGAAUCGGAUUAUGCAUGCAAGGAGAAAUAUAGAAUUAUGAAACGAUUCGCCAAAGACGAACCCUAAUACAAUAAUCACAAACAACACAACAAAUUUUAACAGCUUAUUGUACAUUAUCAUUGCACCAUACGCUGGCAGCUUUGAGUAACUGGAUAACACGGCUAAAUAUCACAGUUUUGUUUUGCUAUGCGUAAAUUUCCCCCGGGCAGCGAAGAGCCGUUCAACGGUGCCCGUUUAAAGCGAUUCAUGACUUAUAACAAGGAACUCAUCUAAACCGACGGUAUUAUAUGCAUAUGUGAGAGAACACUAUUCAUUUUGGGACCUGAUUCUAAGCUGGUUUAAAUAUCGAACGAUUAACUAACAGAAAGAAAAUUAUAAUUAUAAUUUAAGUGAACCGGUUAGAUAAUAAAGAUUGGCUUUUAUAUACUUGCCUAAACAAA